AGAACGAACGCUGGCGGCAUGCCUAAUACAUGCAAGUCGAACGAACUCUUCGGAGUUAGUGGCGCACGGGUGCGUAACGCGUGGGAAUCUGCCCCUUGGUUCGGAAUAACAGUUGGAAACGACUGCUAAUACCGGAUGAUGACGAAAGUCCAAAGAUUUAUCGCCAAGGGAUGAGCCCGCGUAGGAUUAGCUAGUUGGUGAGGUAAAGGCUCACCAAGGCAACGAUCCUUAGCUGGUCUGAGAGGAUGAUCAGCCACACUGGGACUGAGACACGGCCCAGACUCCGUACGGGAGGCAGCAGGUAGGGAAUAUUGGACAAGUGGGACGAAAGCC
rnacentral:rRNA from 1 species